rnacentral:rRNA from 1 species
UAAUAGCGUAUAUUAAAGUUGUUGCAGUUAAAAAGCUCGUAGUUGGAUUUGUGGCGUACGGUGUGUUCCGGGCACUUGUUGUCUGAGUAACCUGCUGUUGCCAUCCUUGGGUGGAACCUGUGUGGCAUUAGGUUGUCGUGCAGGGGAUGCCCAUCAUUUACUGUGAAAAAAUUAGAGUGUUCAAAGCAGGCUUAUGCCGUUGAAUAUAUUAGCAUGGAAUAACGAGAUAGGACUUUUUUGCUAUUUUGUUGGUUUGCGCAAAGAGGUAAUGAUUAAUAGGGACAGUUGGGGGUAUUCGUAUUCCAUUGUCAGAGGUGAAAUUCUUGGAUUUUUGGAAGACGAACUACUGCGAAAGCAUUUACCAAGGAUGUUUUCAUUAA